GAUGUGGGGGAUAACCAUUGGAAACGAUGGCUAAUACCGCAUAAUAGCUUCGGCUCAAAGAGGGGGACCUUCGGGCCUCUCGCGUCAGGAUAUGCCCAGGUGGGAUUAGCUAGUUGGGGAGGUAAGGGCUCACCAAGGCGACGAUCCCUAGCUGGUCUGAGAGGAUGAUCAGCCACACUGGAACUGAGACACGGUCCAGACUCCUACGGGAGGCAGCAAUGGGGAAUAUUGCACAAUGGGCGCAAGCCUGAUGCAGCCAUGCCGCGUGUGUGAAGAAGGCCUUCGGGUUGUAAAGCACUUUCAGUCGUGAGGAAGGUAGUGUGUUUAAUAGAUGCAUUAUUUGACGUUAGCGACAGAAGAAGCACCGGCUAACUCCGUGCCAGCAGCCGCGGUAAUACGGAGGGUGCGAGCGUUAAUCGGAAUUACUGGGCGUAAAGCGCAUGCAGGUGGUGUGUUAAGUCAGAUGUGAAAGCCCGGGGCUCAACCUCGGAAUUGCAUUUGAAACUGGCAGACUAGAGUACUGUAGAGGGGGGUAGAAUUUCAGGUGUAGCGGUGAAAUGCGUAGAGAUCUGAAGGAAUACCGGUGGCGAAGGCGGCCCCCUGGACAGAUACUGACACUCAGAUGCGAAAGCGUGGGGAGCAAACAGGAUUAGAUACCCUGGUAGUCCACGCCGUAAACGAUGUCUACUUGGAGGUUGUGGCCUUGAGCCGUGGCUUUCGGAGCUAACGCGUUAAGUAGACCGCCUGGGGAGUACGGUCGCAAGAUUAAAACUCAAAUGAAUUGACGGGGGCCCGCACAAGCGGUGGAGCAUGUGGUUUAAUUCGAUGCAACGCGAAGAACCUUACCUACUCUUGACAUCCAGAGAACUUUCCAGAGAUGGAUUGGUGCCUUCGGGAACUCUGAGACAGGUGCUGCAUGGCUGUCGUCAGCUCGUGUUGUGAAAUGUUGGGUUAAGUCCCGCAACGAGCGCAACCCUUAUCCUUGUUUGCCAGCGAGUCAUGUCGGGAACUCCAGGGAGACUGCCGGUGAUAAACCGGAGGAAGGUGGGGACGACGUCAAGUCAUCAUGGCCCUUACGAGUAGGGCUACACACGUGCUACAAUGGCGCAUACAGAGGGCGGCCAACUUGCGAAAGUGAGCGAAUCCCAAAAAGUGCGUCGUAAUCCGGAUUGGAGUCUGCAACUCGACUCCAUGAAGUCGGAAUCGCUAGUAAUCGUGGAUCAGAAUGCCACGGUGAAUACGUUCCCGGGGCUUUGUACCAACCGCCCGUC
rnacentral:rRNA from 1 species